UAACGCGUGGGAAUCUGCCCUGGAGUGGGGGAUAACCCGGCGAAAGCCGGGCUAAUACCGCAUACGUCCUGAGGGAGAAAGAUUUAUCGCUCUAGGAGGGGCCCGCGUCGGAUUAGCUAGUUGGUGAGGUAACGGCUCACCAAGGCGACGAUCCGUAGCUGGUCUGAGAGGAUGAUCAGCCACACUGGGACUGAGACACGGCCCAGACUCCUACGGGAGGCAGCAGUGGGGAAUAUUGGACAAUGGGGGCAACCCUGAUCCAGCAAUGGCGCGUGGGUGAUGAAGGCCUUAGGGUUGU
rnacentral:rRNA from 1 species